rnacentral:rRNA from 1 species
CCUACGGGUGGCAGCAGUAAGGAAUAUUGGUCAAUGGAGGAAACUCUGAACCAGCCAUCCCGCGUGAAGGAUGAAGGGGCUCUGCCUUGUAAACUUCUUUUGUCUGGGGCGAAAAAGCUCGAUUUAUCGAGAACUGACGGUACCAGAAGAAUAAGCACCGGCUAACUCCGUGCCAGCAGCCGCGGUAAUACGGAGGGUGCGGGCGUUAUCCGGAAUAACUGGGUUUAAAGGGUGCGUAGGCGGCAGAGUUGAAAGCUUGUGGCUUAACCAUGGAAUUGCCAUUGAUACUGCAGAGCUUGAAUUGGGUUGAGGUUAGCGGAAUGUGACAUGUAGCGGUGAAAUGCUUAGAUAUGUCAUGGAACACCGAUUGCGAAGGCAGCUGACUGGACCUAUAUUGACGCUGAGGCACGAAAGCGUGGGGAGCGAACAGGAUUAGAUACCCUUGUAGUC